rnacentral:rRNA from 1 species
GACGAACGCUGGCGGCGUGCUUAACACAUGCAAGUCGAACGAAAAGACCAGUUUCUUGCUCUACUGAAGUUACGAGCGGGUGGGUGAGUCAUAAGUGACUAACCCUUCUCUUUGGCUUGGCUUCAUUCGGCAAACCCGAGCUCCUACCGGAAAAUCUUUUGAACCGGAUGGUUUUAUAAUGUAACAGCGGUUUGCUGUUACCUAUCGAUUUAUCCGCGUCGCAUUAGGUUGUUGGCUGGGUAACGGCUUAACAAGGCGACGAUGCGUUGCCGACCUGAGAGGGUGAUCGGCCACACUGGAACUGAGACACGGUCCAGACUCCUACGGGAGGCAGCAGUAGGGAAUCUUCCGCAAUGGGCGAAAGCCUGACGGAGCAACGCCGCGUGAGUGAUGAAGGUCUUCGGAUCGUAAAACUCUGUUAUUAGGGAAGAACAAAUGUGUAAGUAACUAUGCACGUCUUGACGGUACCUAAUCAGAAAGCCACGGCUAACUACGUG